rnacentral:rRNA from 1 species
CCUACGGGAGGCAGCAGUGGGGAAUAUUGGACAAUGGGCGAAAGCCUGAUCCAGCAAUGCCGCGUGUGUGAAGAAGGCCUUCGGGUUGUAAAGCACUUUAGGAUGGAAAGAAAAAACUUCAGUUAAUAGCUGAAGUCUUGACGGUACCAUCAGAAUAAGCACCGGCUAACUCUGUGCCAGCAGCCGCGGUAAUACAGAGGGUGCAAGCGUUAAUCGGAUUUACUGGGCGUAAAGCGUGUGUAGGUGGUGGCGUAAGUCGAUUGUGAAAUCCCCGGGCUCAACCUGGGAACUGCUUUCGAUACUGCGUCACUAGAGUACGGUAGAGGGUGGUGGAAUUUCCGGUGUAGCGGUGAAAUGCGUAGAUAUCGGAAGGAACAUCAAUGGCGAAGGCAACCACCUGGGCCUGUACUGACACUGAGACACGAAAGCGUGGGGAUCAA